AUGCCUGCUAAUCCACGAUCUGGGGCAGCAUCCAGUGGCGCAACGACCAGGGCGAUCUGGGGCAGCGGCGAACUGGGGAAACGAUCUGGGGCAGCGGCGGCCAGGGAAAGCGGCGAUCUGGUUCAGCAUCCAGCUGCGGCAACGACCAGGGCCGGCGGCAAUCUGGGGCGGCAACGACCAGGGCCAACGGCGAGCUGGGGCAGAGCCAACGACCAGGGCCAACGGCGAGCUGGGGCAGAGCCAACGACCAGGUCCAUGGCGAGCACGUCGGUUCGGAGCAGGAGGCGCGUCACGGAGAAGACGGGGAGGAGGAGGCGCACGUCACGGAGAAGACGGGGAGGGUCGCGGUGGGAUUUUUUCGAGCGGUGGAGCCAGCCAUGCUGA
rnacentral:rRNA from 1 species